CGAAAUGCAUUGAGGCACAACUGGACAUCUAGGGGUAAAGCACUGUUUCGGUGUGGGCCGAAAGAGCGGCACCAAAUCGAGGCAAACUCUGAAUACUAGAUAUGACCUCAAAAUAACAGGGGUCAAAGUCGGCCAGUGCGACGACCGGGGAUAAGCUUCAUCGUCCGGAGGGAAACAGCCUGGAUCACCCGCUAAGGCCCCUAAAUGACCGCUUACAGAGACAGCUAGGAGGUUUGCCUAGAAGCAGCCACCCUUGAAAGAGUGUGUAAUAGCUCAUUGAUCAAGCGCGCUUGCACCUAAGAUGAACGAGGCUAAGCGAUCUGCUUUUAUGUGAAAAACCCUCAUUCAACUGCUAAUUGAAAAAUAAUUUUAUGUGAAUUUCUGGAUUCAAAAUCCCUUCAUCCUGCUGCUAAUUCGAGAUAUUUUCUAG
rfam:Helianthus annuus linkage group 4, whole genome shotgun sequence.